rnacentral:ncRNA from 1 species
GGUAGUAGCAAAUAUUCAAAUGAGAACUUUGAAGGCCGAAGAAGGGAAAGGUUCCAUGUGAACGGCACUUGAGCAUGGGUCAGUCGAUCCUAAGAGAUGGGGGAAGCCCAUCAGACAGCGCGAUCAGCACAAACUUCGAAAGGGAAUCGGGUUAAAUUUCCUGAGCCAGGACGCAGUGGUUGGCGGCAAUGUUAGGGAGUUCGGAGACGUUGGCGGGGCCCCGGGAAGAGAUAUCUUUUCUGUUUAACGGCCUUCCCACCCUGGAAUUGGCUCAGCCGAAGGUAGGGUCCAGCGGCCGGAAGAGCACCGCACGUCGCGUGGUGUCCGGUACGCCCACGGCGGCCCUUGAAAAUCCAGAGGACCGAGUGCUGGUCGCGCCCGAUCGUACUCAUAACCGCAUCAGGUCUCCAAGGUGAACAGCCUCUGGUC